CCUACGGGAGGCAGCAGUGAGGAAUAUUGGUCAAUGGGCGCGAGCCUGAACUAGCCAAGUCGCGUGAGGGAAGAAGGUCCUAUGGAUUGUAAACCUCUUUUGUCGGGGAGUAAAAGUCUCCACGCGUGGAGUUCCGCGUGUACCCGAAGAAUAAGCAUCGGCUAACUCCGUGCCAGCAGCCGCGGUAAUACGGAGAAUGCGAGCGUUAUCCGGAUUUAUUGGGUUUAAAGGGUGCGCGGGCGGAUGCUGAAGUCAGCGGUAAAAUUGAGAGGCUCAACCUCUUCGAGCCGUUGAAACAGGAUGUCUUGAGUGAGUUAGAGGUAUGCGGAAUGCGUGGUGUAGCGGUGAAAUGCAUAGAUAUCACGCAGAACUCCGAUUGCGAAGGCAGCAUACCAGCGCACAACUGACGCUCAUGCACGAAAGUGUGGGUAUCAAACAGGAUUAGAUACCCCAGUAGUC
rnacentral:rRNA from 1 species